AUUUCUUAAUUUUAUUAUAUUGUAUGACAUAACAUUUGAUAUGUAAAUUUACAUCUGUUGGAAGUUUCUUUAAGAAUUAUUAUUUCCGAAUACGGUAUUUGAAGCUAUGAAACAACACUACACAGAUUUUUGUUAACAAAAUUGUCAACUCUGAGUGUAUAAUCAGUCUGAAAUUCGAAUACAGCACGCUAAUAUACAUGUAAGUAAAAAUAAUGAUAUAGAAACAGGUACUAAAUACUUAGAUAAAUAAAACGUAUUAGACUGUGAUUUACUGCAAGAUUACUCGAAAAUUAUGUGCAUUAAAAUCCAGAAUGUGUUUGUCUCUUUGUUUGUUUUGUCAAGUUUAACGUCGUUUAACAGAAAUUAUAAUCAGAUUUAAAUGAGUUUCAAACAAAACAUAGACUAAAUAAAUUUUCCUCAUACAAUUUUGAUGACGAACAAAAUCAAAAGAUUCCCAUUCAUAUAGAUUAAACGUCAGGAACAUCCUCCGUCUAAAUGAAUACUAAUGGACUUACUGGUAUUUGAAGUGAUGAAACAUCAAUUUCAAAGUUAUCCAUUCUGUAGAUGCAUGUAACACAUAUACUAGCCUUGAUAUUGGUUUUAGAAGCAUUUCGCAUGUUACAGGUUUCCAACACAAUUUUUGCGAGGCACUUGUUAUGAUUAGUAUACUGAGCGGAUCAAUGGAUAUUUCUCUUCCCUUUAGAUUCAGUUCAUUGAAAUUACAAAACAUCGACUUAUGAAUUUGUUCUGUAUUUAAUUUCUUAGUUUAUUUUUCUGUUUAAGAAUGACAGAAUAAGAAUGCAACUGUGUACCGAAACUCAUUCUAAACUUGGUCUGGAUACCUCGUUUAUUAAAAGUGGCGCAUUUCGAAAACAGCUGUUUCUAGCAGUGUGCACAGCGAUAGUAAUUCUCUUUCUGAUACUGCUGGAUAUCUUUCCUUUUACAUCGAAAACACAAGGAAAAGGCUACUAUGCAAAACCAUCGUUGGAAUGCACUAAUAACAAUAAAAGUACUAUUCGUGUACUCUGCCUCAUCCUAGCAUCAGCAUAUAAAAGCAGGGAGAUGGCAGCAAUAGACAAAACGUGGGCAAGACGUUGUGAUAAGUACCUUUUCAUCAAUGGGCAGACGAACAAUCCACUAACAGCUGAAACAAUUUUAAAUGUUCCGGUUCCAGAGAAGAGACAUCACCUGACAAUGAAGAUUCGUCAUGCGUUUGAAUAUGUGUACAGAGCAUAUAAUGGCAGUUUUGAUUGGAUAUUAAAAUGCGAUCUUGACACCUAUGUUAUUAUGGAAAAUCUUCGGAACCUCCUCUCACACGUCGACUCAUUUAAACCAGGAUACCUAGGUUUUCAUAUAAAGGCUAGGAGAAAUCAUCGUUAUGGUUACAUGAGUGGAGGAGGCGGUUAUGCAAUUAGCUGGCAAGGUCUUCAUCAAUUAAUACAUAAGGGAUUUAAAAACGGCUGCGGUGAGGAAGAUGGUUCAAGUGAGGAUCUCAACAUUGGCUUAUGUUUAGCUGAAUCUGACGUACCCGUAUUAAACUCACGUGAUAAGGACGGAAAAGAAACAUUUCAUCCAGCAACCUUACAACGUCUUUUACGUCCACCUCAUCCAAGACAAGUCAGAAAUAUGGCUUGGAAUAAAGUCAGAUUUAAACAUCAACAGAAGAUGUCAAGGGAGACGGUACGGCAUAUUCCUAUGCUUAAUAAUAAAAGAGGACAUAUGUGAGGACACUUUAGUCAGUGGAGUAUGAUUAAUACCCCUAAGAUGGCCAACCAUUUAAGGUUAGGGCUCGGACUGCUGUAGCAAAUAUUCUAUUAGUUUUCACAGAGUUUCAAUCACUGGCCAUUUUCUGUUCGAACACAUGUUGUAUAAGACAAAAGUGUAUAACUAUGAAUAUUGUUAAGACACACU
rnacentral:misc_RNA from 1 species